rnacentral:rRNA from 1 species
AGUGAGUGGCGAACUGGUGAGUAACACGUGGGAAACCUGCCCAGAAGCGGGGGAUAACACCUGGAAACAGAUGCUAAUACCGCAUAACAACUUGGACCGCAUGGUCCGAGYUUGAAAGAUGGCUUCNGCUAUCACUUUUGGAUGGUCCCGCGGCGUAUUAGCUAGAUGGUGRGGUAACGGCUCACCAUGGCAAUGAUACGUAGCCGACCUGAGAGGGUAAUCGGCCACAUUGGGACUGAGACACGGCCCAAACUCCUACGGGAGGCAGCAGUAGGGAAUCUUCCACAAUGGACGAAAGUCUGAUGGAGCAACGCCGCGUGAGUG